GUAAGUAUAGUUUAAUCAAGAUGUCAGAUUGUGAUUCUGAAGACAGGGGUUGAAACCCCCUUACUCACC
rnacentral:tRNA from 1 species